UAGUCCACGCCGUAAACGUUGGGCACUAGGUGUGGGGCUCGAUCGACGGGCUCCGUGCCGUAGCCAACGCAUUAAGUGCCCCGCCUGGGAAGUACGGCCGCAAGGCUAAAACUCAAAGGAAUUGACGGGGGCCCGCACAAGCGGCGGAGCAUGUUGCUUAAUUCGAUGCAACGCGAAGAACCUUACCAAGGCUUGGCAUGUAGGGAAAAGCCGUAGAGAUACGGUGUCCUUCGGGGCCCUACAC
rnacentral:rRNA from 1 species